rnacentral:snoRNA from 1 species
UUGCAGCCAGUUAAGCCGACUGUGCUCUUUUCCCCAUGGGGGCCCGGUGCGCAGUGGCUGCAAACAGCAGCCUCCUCGGUAGUGUGUGCGGCCUGUUGCCUGUACAGGCUGCCCUAAGGGACCCUGGAGACAGCC